UCACGAAAAUGCCCGAAAAAGUA
rnacentral:siRNA from 1 species